AAUUGCAAGCUGUACGGAACAGGAGGUUAAAGGUGCUGAUUCUCCAAGGAGGGAGAUUGCUAGUAAAGCGGCUGGAAUGGCGAACCCGAGCACAAGGAGAUGAGAAAUGAGGACAAAUUGCAAGCUGUACGGAACAGGAGGUUAAAGGUGCUGAUUCUCCAAGGAGGGAGAUUGCUAGUAAAGCGGCUGGAAUGGCGAACCCGAGCACAAGGAGAUGAGAAAUGAGGACAAAUUGCAAGCUGUACGGAACAGGAGGUUAAAGGUGCUGAUUCUCCAAGGAGGGAGAUUGCUAGUAAAGCGGCUGGAAUGGAGAACCCGAGCACAAGGAGAUGAGAAAUGAGGACAAAUUGCAAGCUGUACGGAACAGGAGGUUAAAGGUGCUGAUUCUCCAAGGAGGGAGAUUGCUAGUAAAGCGGCUGGAAUGGAGAACCCGAGCACAAGGAGAUGAGAAAUGAGGACAAAUUGCAAGCUGUACGGAACAGGAGGUUAAAGGUGCUGAUUCUCCAAGGAGGGAGAUUGCUAGUAAAGCGGCUGGAAUGGAGAACCCGAGCACAAGGAGAUGAGAAAUGAGGACAAAUUGCAAGCUGUACGGAACAGGAGGUUAAAGGUGCUGAUUCUCCAAGGAGGGAGAUUGCUAGUAAAGCGGCUGGAAUGGAGAACCCGAGCACAAGGAGAUGAGAAAUGAGGACAAAUUGCAAGCUGUACGGAACAGGAGGUUAAAGGUGCUGAUUCUCCAAGGAGGGAGAUUGCUAGUAAAGCGGCUGGAAUGGAGAACCCGAGCACAAGGAGAUGAGAAAUGAGGACAAAUUGCAAGCUGUACGGAACAGGAGGUUAAAGGUGCUGAUUCUCCAAGGAGGGAGAUUGCUAGUAAAGCGGCUGGAAUGGAGAACCCGAGCACAAGGAGAUGAGAAA